UAUCUUUGCUGGAGUUUCUUCCUUAUCAACCAACCUAAUGAUUGCAUCACUUAGGUUGAAUAUGAUAAUCCCAGUAGCUGUUUCAAGAUACUCUUCUUGCUGUAUCUUAGUUGUUCCUUCAGGCCAUUCAAUGGGUUCUUCAAGGACCCUCAACAGCUUCUGUUGUGCCAGUAGAGAUCUUAUUUUCCUCCUCCAUAUUCUGUAGUCACCUGAUCCAUCAAACUUAUCAACAUCAACUUUAAAAUUACUCAUAUUGUAUUUGUUAAAAAAUCAAAUUAGAUAAAGGUUUAGAAUGUCCUCCAAAUCUCCAAUAUCUAAUUCCUCCUCUUCAUGUCCAUCCUUGUGUUCUUGAUUUUCAAUGUCUUUCUAAUUUGCUUCUUGAUUGUAUUAUUUUGAAUCUCUUUGCGGAAAUAAUUUGGCUCUGAUACCACUGUUGGAAAUUAUUUGUUCUAACCAACACACUUUAAGAAGCAAAAUUAAUAUUAUAUGCAAAUUGGUAUUUUUCUAAAAUUUAUUAUUUUAUGUGUUCAUAAAAUAAUAGUGUCAAUUUUAUAAACUAAUACAAUUUUGCAAUCUUUGUUUCAGCCCAAACACAAAAGGUUCGGCCCACUAAGCCAAAGCCCAAAAAGAGAUUAACUCAACAAAGAGUCAAUGACUCUUCUCACUAAAGUGGUUCGGCCCACUAUCAAUCAACCAAAGAGAGUUUUCUCUCUCCAAUCACUCCUUCAGUCAAUGCAAGAAUUCAAACAAGACUCUCCUUUGAUAUAUAUUCGGCCCAGCAAGUAUAUCAGCCCAACUUAAAUGAAACCCUAAGUUAAUAAACCCUAAUAUAAAAGCCAAAGGUAUAACACUAAAAACCUAAUACUUUCUUCUUCUCUAUUCGGCAGCCACUAUCAUUCCCUCUCUAAAAUAUUCAAAACUUUCCAAAAAACCUUCUUCUCUCUAAUGGCAGCUGCUAGGGUUUUCUAGGGUUAGGGUUUCUUUCACUUCUUCUUCUUUUCAACACAAAGGCAACAAGAGUUUCUGGAGUUAAUUUCUUCUCUUCUUCUUGCUACAGCCGCAAGGAUUAAUGUUCUUCAAAGUUUAUACCCGAAACAAGAACAACCAAAAACACAAAUCUUCUACCCGAAAAUACUAACCCAGAAAAGCACUCACUCACGGCUUUACUCACUCAAAAACCGAACCACAAAAAUGUUUCACAUCCUCAUGGCCAAAAAACCAAACCGAAAAAUACAACCCGAAUAAAUCCCUUUAGCUUUCGGCCAAUACAAUACACACCCAAAAAUCAAGAACAUAAACACAUGCACAAAUACAAAUACCACAAAAAAUAAUAAGAGUGAGAUGAGAGAAUGCAAACAGUGAUUAAAGUAGAUGACACCAAAACUUUGAUCUCGGAGUUCGCCCAAAACAACCGGCUACUUCUCCGUCAAGCCCUCAGCUUGAUUCCACUAAUCAUCAAACAAAGGAGGAGCUCACAUGGAGAUGACAACUCACAGCCAAAAGGCUCUCUUUUUUACUUUGUUGUUAUUUCUGAUGUUGUUCUCUGUUGUUGUAUCUCUCUGGCUGUGACUCUUUAUUUUGCUCUGUAUAUUAUUGCUUGUUGUAUCUGAGAAAAGCACCUCCUUUUA